AAAUGCAACAAAGGAAAGAAAUCAGCCUUAUUUCCACACUAUGAGGUCAUAAAGUUUCAGAUUUAUUGGCAUCAAGUUGUUCAAGCAUCCUCUCAAGACACUUUACACUUCUAAGGAUUUGAAUCCUCGGAGGUGAUGGCUGUGGAUCAGAGCUGCCCUGGCGGGUGUCAGUGUUCCGGACUGGGCACUGGUGGCUGCAGCAAAGGAUUCGAUGAAUAUUCCUUCAUUAUCUGACAAAACACUUGAGCUGGGAUGCGGUUACCUGAUAUGGAGGGGAAUAUCACAG